UACUAAGGCCACAAGCACGACUCUGUUUUUCUCUUCUCUCUUGCUUCCGACAUUUUAAGAGCCACUUUUCAAAGAUUUAUGACUGUCACAUAAUUUUUGGCAGCUCUCGAAACUUCUUUUUUGAAACUGAAACACCCCGAAAAGCGGAAGCAUGCUUCUGCACACCUGAGGUGCACGCACAGCGCAGACCCCCUCUGCAUAUCCGGCGGAGGGGGCUGACUUGAGCAAAAGACACAGAACCAGCAAGAAAGGAAAAGACAGAAGCAGACAGAGUUAACCUGAGCUGGAAAUAAAACAAGAGUCAGCAGAGCGACUAUUGAGAGGAGAUCAGGACCUGAUUACUUUUCUAACUGAUGCCUACACACAGCUCUGCUGGACAGAUCAUUUCCUUCCCUGAAGAUCUUCAUUGAUCCCUGCGUCAGAGAGCCGACUCCCACCAAACACUGCACUUGCUUAAGAUAACCAAUCACUCUGCUAACUGAAGAAAGAGAAAUAUGAAGCUCUCCAUUUUCUUGAUGGUGGUGUUCUCUGUCACUGUGCUCUGUGUGGAUUACGAUCAUGUUAAGAAGUUCAAAAACCAGCGUAUCAUGGAACCAGACACGAAAAUGUUGUCCGUUUAUUUUAGCAGAUCAGCACAAGAAAGUGAUGAAGAUCGUGUUGAAAUGUUCAAAGACCAGCAUAUCAUCGAACCAGGCACAAAAGAGUCAUGUGAUGAACUAAUACGCAAGAAGAACAUCAAAGAUGCUAAUGGUAACAAUAAAGAAAGAAACACCUUCAUCUUUAGCACUUUUGAAGAGGUUAAAGAUAUUUGUACAGAAAAACAACGUGUUUAUAAAAAUGACAAUCUUUAUAGAAGCUCUGAAGAGAUGGAGAUUUUGUACUGCAAACUGCAAUAUGACAAAAAAACAUACAAAGGUGUAAAGAUAAAGAAGCAUAUUGAAAUUGCAUGUGUGAAAAUUGGCAGU